rnacentral:rRNA from 1 species
AUGUCGCCCACGGCCAUGUCGCUGACGACGACGAGCCACCUGCCCGUCUGCAAGGCGCAGGACGUCGCCAAGCAAGCGCCGCAGAGGCGGGCCUCUCCCGCCAAGAUCACGCCCCCGUCGCCAGACGCUGCCGGGCUCCUCGGCAGGCGGGGGCUGCUCCAGUCCGCCGGGCUGGGGCUGGGACUCGGGCUCGCCGUGGCAAGGCCGGCACGGGCUGAUCAGCCGCCGGUGCUGGCGCCGGAGGAGCUGACGUCGAGCCGGAUGUCCUACUCCAGGUUCCUGGAGUACCUCGACGCCGGCGCGGUCAAGAAGGUGGACCUGUUCCAGAACGGCACGGUGGCCGUGGCCGAGGUGGACGAGCCGGCGCUGGCGAGGGUGCACCGCGUCAAGGUGCAGCUCCCGGGGCUCCCCGCCGAGCUGGUCCGGAAGAUGCGGGAGAAGGGCGUCGACUUCGCGGCCCAGCCGGUGGAGCCCAACGUCGGGCUGGACGUCCUGGGCCUCCUGCUUAACCUCGGCUUCCCGCUCCUCUUCCUCGCCUCGCUCUUCCUGCGGUCGUCCGGCGGCAUGAACGCGCCCGGCGGCGGGCCGAGCCUGCCCUUCGGGCUCGGCCGGUCCAAGGCCAAGUUCCAGAUGGAGCCCAACACGGGCGUCACGUUCGACGACAUCGCCGGCGUGGACGAGGCGAAGCAGGACUUCCAGGAGAUCGUGCAGUUCCUCAAGUUCCCUGACAAGUUCACGGCGGUGGGGGCAAGGAUCCCCAAGGGGGUGCUCCUGGUCGGCCCGCCGGGAACGGGGAAGACGCUGCUGGCCAAGGCGAUCGCGGGCGAGGCCGGCGUGCCCUUCUUCUCGCUGUCCGGGUCGGAGUUCAUCGAGAUGUUCGUGGGCGUGGGCGCGUCGCGGGUGCGGGACCUCUUCAACAAGGCCAAGGACAACGCGCCGUGCCUGGUGUUCAUCGACGAGAUCGACGCCGUCGGCCGGCAGCGCGGCACGGGCAUCGGCGGGGGCAACGACGAGCGCGAGCAGACGCUGAACCAGCUGCUCACCGAGAUGGACGGCUUCCGCGGCGACAGCGGCGUCAUCGUCAUCGCCGCCACGAACCGGCCGGAGAUCCUCGACGCCGCGCUGCUCCGCCCGGGACGCUUCGACCGGCAGGUGUCCGUGGGGCUGCCCGACGUGCGCGGCCGCGAGGAGAUCCUCAGGGUGCACAGCGCCAACAAGAAGCUGGACCCCGGCGUGUCCCUCAGCGUGGUGGCCAUGCGCACGCCCGGGUUCAGCGGCGCCGACCUCGCCAACCUCAUGAACGAGGCCGCCAUCCUCGCCGGCCGCCGCGGCAAGGACCGCGUCUCCGUCAAGGAGAUCGACGACUCCAUCGACCGCAUCGUCGCCGGCCUCGAGGGCGCCAGCAUGACCGACGGCAAGAGCAAGAUGCUCGUCGCCUACCACGAGAUCGGCCACGCCGUCUGCGCGACGCUGACGCCGGGGCACGACGAGGUGCAGAAGGUGACGCUGAUCCCGCGGGGGCAGGCGCGGGGCCUGACGUGGUUCCUCCCCGGCGAGGACCCGACGCUGGUGUCCAAGCGGCAGAUCUUCGCGAGGAUCGUGGGCGGGCUCGGCGGCCGUGCCGCGGAGGAGGUGAUCUUCGGCGAGCCGGAGGUGACGACGGGCGCGGCGGGGGACCUGCAGCAGGUGACGCAGGUGGCGCGGCAGAUGGUGACCACGUUCGGCAUGUCGGAGAUCGGGCCGUGGGCGCUGACGGACCAGGCGGCGCAGAGCGGGGACGUGGUGCUGCGGAUGCUGGCCAGGAACGCCAUGUCGGAGAAGCUCGCGGCCGACAUCGACAGGACGGUGAAGGCCAUCAUCGACGAGGCGUACGAGGUCGCCAAGGCGCACGUCAGGAGGACGCGGCCCGCCAUCGACCAGCUGGUCGACGUGCUCAUGGAGAAGGAGACGCUCACCGGCGAUGAGUUCAGGGCGGUCCUGUCAGAGUACGUCGACAUCGGCAGAGAGCAGAGGGACACCGCCGCGAGGACGGACAUGGUCACUGCUUGA